GAUCGAUCUUCGGAGAUUGAGAUAAUCGCUAUGAACAAAACGGAGUCGUUUUAAAAACAUUUUAUUGUAAAAAUAGACAUUUUAACCAGACGUGCGGCUUUAUAAUGCAUGCAAGAAGACAAACUUCAAGUGGAAAUGUAGUCUACUUACAGAUUAAGGGAGGUGUUUGAACCGUGACAUCUACAGUAGCCAACAGAAACAGAGUGCUGGGACAUGAGGUCAGACAUUGACUGUAAUGAUGGACAUCUGCUGAUGCACAGGAGGCGUCCAUCUGUUGCUUGGCGAGUCAAGAGUCACGGGCCCAGAGUCAAGACCCCAUAUGUUUGUUUCUAGGGGUUUGGAGCAGAAGGUGGGGGACGGAAAUGUCUGUGCAACCCAAAGCCUUGGACCAGAGAGGUGACGGUCAGCACUCAGAUUGCAGACUGUGACCUCUGGGUGGUUGACAGCUGACUUUGAGAUGAAAAAAGUUCACUGCUGAUGUCUAGCAGAACCAGCCCUAUAGUAAAAGCCAGUUAAACAAAAAAGGUG
ensembl:lncRNA